rnacentral:rRNA from 1 species
UACAGAGGUCUCAAGCGUUGUUCGGAUUCAUUGGGCGUAAAGGGUGCGUAGCGGCGCGGUAAGUCGGGUGUGAAAUCUCGGAGCUUAACUCCGAAACUGCAUUCGAUACUGCCGUGCUUGAGGACUGGAGAGGAGACUGGAAUUUACGGUGUAGCGGUGAAUGCGUAGAUAUCAGGAGGAACACCAAUGGCGAAGGCAGCUCGCUGGAACGGUACUGACGCUGAGGCGCGAAAGCGUGGGGAGCGAACAGG